rnacentral:sRNA from 1 species
UAUCGCAGCCCUCAUUGGGCGUUUCCUCCCUAGACUUGGCCGCACCUCGGUGCGGCCAUUUUUCUUUCUAGC